rnacentral:rRNA from 1 species
UGGGGAAUCUUGCGCAAUGGGCGAAAGCCUGACGCAGCGACGCCGCGUGAGUGAUGAAGGCCUUCGGGUUGUAAAGCUCUGUGGGGCGAGACGAAUAAGUGCAGCCUAAUACGUUGCAUGAUGACGGUAUCGCCUUAGCAAGCACCGGCUAACUCUGUGCCAGCAGCCGCGGUAAGACAGAGGGUGCAAACGUUGUUCGGAAUUACUGGGCGUAAAGCGAGUGUAGGCGGUCUCCUAAGUCGGGUGUGAAAGCCCCGGGCUCAACCCGGGAAGUGCACGCGAAACUGGGAGGCUAGAGUAUCGGAGAGGUUGGUGGAAUUCUCGGUGUAGAGGUGAAAUUCGUAGAUAUCGAGAGGAACACCGGUGGCGAAGGCGGCCAACUGGACGAAUACUGACGCUGAGACUCGAAAGCGUGGGGAGCAAACA